GACGAACGCUGGCGGCGUGCCUAAUACAUGCAAGUCGAACGCUUCUUUCCUCCCGAGUGCUUGCACUCAAUUGGAAAGAGGAGUGGCGGACGGGUGAGUAACACGUGGGUAACCUACCCAUCAGAGGGGGAUAACACUUGGAAACAGGUGCUAAUACCGCAUAACAGUUUAUGCCGCAUGGCAUAAGAGUGAAAGGCGCUUUCGGGUGUCGCUGAUGGAUGGACCCGCGGUGCAUUAGCUAGUUGGUGAGGUAACGGCUCACCAAGGCCACGAUGCAUAGCCGACCUGAGAGGGUGAUCGGCCACACUGGGACUGAGACACGGCCCAGACUCCUACGGGAGGCAGCAGUAGGGAAUCUUCGGCAAUGGACGAAAGUCUGACCGAGCAACGCCGCGUGAGUGAAGAAGGUUUUCGGAUCGUAAAACUCUGUUGUUAGAGAAGAACAAGGACGUUAGUAACUGAACGUCCCCUGACGGUAUCUAACCAGAAAGCCAUGGCUAACUACGUG
rnacentral:rRNA from 1 species